CUUGGAAGCAGGCGCAGGCUGAAAACCCGAGCGCGCAGCACCUGAGGAAAAGUGCUCCGAGUUAAUUGAAAAGCUUCAGGAAACUGGAAUUCCUCGCAGUGAUACUGUCACAUGCGUCAGCCACCAGAUACAUGUUGUAAGGACUUUUUUUGUUCACCUUUAGUUCAGACUGACUGUGACCACUGCUCCCUCCAUCUCUAGAAUGAAAUGAUUAUGAAAUUAUUUGAGAACACUGAAAUACCUAAGAAAGGAGAGCAACACCACGGACCAGCAUCCAAUAUCGGAACUAAGCCACAUCAAUUUUUCCAUGGAAGACCUCAGUUUCAAUGCAAAUCAUUCCUGGAGGAAAAAUGUUCUGCCGAAAAACAGUGACCAACUCUUAUAAUUAUGGUUGAAAAUCCAAACACACCCAGAGGCUCGGAUCAGGAGCUGUUGAUUUACCAGGUUAUCAGUGGAACACAAACACCCUUUCCUGGUGAUCUAGACACGGAGGAAAAGAGCCUGCAAAGAGCCCCAGAGCUCUGAGGUCACUGGGGAUGGAUCCAGUACGAGAUUUCCACAUGCCAAGUAUCCCUUUGUCCCACACACAAGCUGCCAUCUCACAGAAAAACCACUUCCAAAUCUCCUACUUGGUGGAGUAAGCACCCUGUCCUUCAAGUCUUUGCAAAAAUCCUGAAUUAAUCUGCUGUAAAGCCAUUAGAAUGAGCUUCUUCUUGCUAAGCACUGAUUCUGGUUUUAAUCAUAUCAGCUCUGAGUUCAGAUCAGGUGUUUGUGAAGCCAUGUAAGUUUAUACCAUUGGAUAAAAAUGAUGAGAAACAUCUAGGACAAUUAAGAAAGCAGGCAAGAUUCCAGAAGCAGAUUUCUCCCCCAAAAAGCAGCACACACAUUUUGUGGUGAGUUUGCACAGGCUCAUCUGCCCAGCUGAAGAUGCCAUUGCACUAAUCCUUGCCAGAGGGAUGGGCAGGGGCAAUGUUUGGAGUGGAGGGCAGACACUCUGAGAUGGAGAUGGGGAUUUCAGUGAUGAGAACAAACAGCAACGGCCCCGGAUUCCCUGCCACAGGCUGCUGAACUCCCAUCUGGAAGCAAGACCAGGGAGGUGAUUUCUGCAUGGGGCUCCACAGUCAAACAACACCUAACAAAAUCCUGUAGGCCAGAAAUAUGGAUUGUCCAGCUAAGUACUUCCUAAUGUUUUAAAAAUGUAUCAUUUGCUCCUUCUUUCUGUUUGCCAGUGCAAGAAGGUAACUCUGCCCACAAACCUUAAUUACAUGAGCUGUAAUGGCUGGAAGAAAUAAUCCCAUUUUCAGGCACACAAACAUUUUCUGUGUGUGCCCAAAACUGUUCCAGCUGUACCUAACAAAGAAGAUUACCUGUACCUGAGAGCCUUGUCUGCCUUAUAUCCACAGACAGUCCAGGCUCCUGCAGCACCACUGCUUUAACUGUGCUUUUCAACAUUCCUGGCACAGCGAGACUUUAAGCUUGGGUUUUACCUCUGGA